UGAANAGCAGCUUUCCAGGGGCCUGUUGUC
rnacentral:piRNA from 1 species